NAAAAAUUCCUUAUAAUUUGACCUCUAAGUCUCCAAAAAAUUUCGAUUUAUAAUUGCGAAGCCGGCCAAGAACUCAAAGAAUUUGGGCAUACUGAGAGAGAAAAAUAAACCUGAAUGAGAAGACAAAUAUGAAGUUAAAGACAUGAAUAGAUGAACUCCAAACCUCUAUAAAUCAGAAAUCAAAACAUAUAAAAAUACCUCCAGCUUUCAAACAAAAUUUGAACUUUAGAGUUUAGAUAAAAGAUGACUCAGAUUAAUUAGAGAGAAGAUCAGAAAGAUAUAAUACAUAUUUAAUAGAUACCGAGAAAUAAGAGUUAAGAAUAAUCAAAUAGAAAAAAUACCUCUAGAAGCCUGGAGCAAACUUUGAACUCCAAUUCUGAAGUCUUGAACUCUUGUCUUCACUCUUCACUCUUCAGAUUAAAAAGUCAAUAGUAGCACUGUAGCAGAACUUAAAAACCUGGAUUUAUUCACAUAUUGUAUCCAGAAAUCGAAAAAAUGAGAGAACAUAUCAACUAUUAAGGAAUUGAAUGGGUAAAAAACAAAUUAAAUGGUGGAGAGCAUCAACUAUCGUCCAUGGAUGAUAUACAGACGGGAUACAAAUAUCGCCAAAUCGAGACUAAUAUUCUGAAUUAAAGAGAGAUAUCGUCUUUUACUUUUAGAAAUUGAACACUUGGUCUGAUGAAAUACCAAAUACGAUUGGAAUGUGGGAGACUGAAUUGUAUAGCCGUAUUGAAGAAUCAGGAGGUUAGAGAUAGAUACCGAUAGGAAACUCAUCGUCUUCUACAUUGUGAUUAUUGCAUCUUCGUUUUUCAAUGUGAUUUUAGUUUUCGUGCCCUUGAUUUCCUACCCCGAUUGAAGAAUCAUCGAUGAGAUUGAUAAUCCAACACUCCAAUACGAGUUUAAUAGCCGCGUUUACCCAUAUGGCUGGUGGGUGUGGUACACUUUGGACAUUCUUAUCAAAAGUUGCCAUUCGGUAGGUGCAGGUUGUCAUACUUGUCAUGCU
rnacentral:lncRNA from 1 species